rnacentral:rRNA from 1 species
AUUGAACGCUGGCGGCAUGCCUUACACAUGCAAGUCGAACGGCAGCACGGGGCAACCUGGUGGCGAGUGGCGAACGGGCGAGUAAUGCAUCGGAACGUACCUUUCAGGGGGGGAUAACGUAGCGAAAGGUACGCUAAUCCCGCAUCUUCUGUGAGCAGGAAACCAGGGGAUCACAAGACCUUGCGCUGAUUGAGCGGCCGAUGUCAGAUUAGCUAGUUGGUGAGGUAAAGGCUCACCAAGGCGACGAUCUGUAGCGGGUCUGAGAGGAUGAUCCGCCACACUGGAACUGAGACACGGUCCAGACUCCUACGGGAGGCAGCAGUGGGGAAUUUUGGACAAUGGGGGCAACCCUGAUCCAGCCAUGCCGCGUGAGUGAAGAAGGCCUUCGGGUUGUAAAGCUCUUUCGGCCGGGAAGAAAUCGCACGGGCUAAUACCCUGUGUGGAUGACGGUACCGGAAUAAGAAGCACCGGCUAACUACGUGCCAGCAGCCGCAGUAACAC